rnacentral:tRNA from 1 species
GAAAGAUUAGUUAAUAAUAUAAUAUUAAUUUGUCAAAUUAAAGUAACUAAGGUAUUCUUCA